GGUUAAGUGACUAAGCGUACACGGUGGAUGCCUUGGCAGUCAGAGGCGAUGAAGGACGUACUAACCUGCGAAAAGCUGUGGGAAGCUGGUAAGAAGCGUUAGACCCGCAGAUAUCCGAAUGGGGAAACCCAGUGCAUUUAUGCACUAUCUUACACUGAAUACAUAGGUGUAAGAGGCGAACCGGGAGAACUGAAACAUCUAAGUACCCCGAGGAAAAGAAAUCAACCGAGAUCCCCUAAGUAGCGGCGAGCGAAAGGGGGCCAGCCCUUAAGCUG
rnacentral:rRNA from 1 species